UGGGGAAUUUUGGACAAUGGGGGAAACCCUGAUCCAGCCAUCCCGCGUGUGCGAUGAAGGCCUUCGGGUUGUAAAGCACUUUUGGCAGGAAAGAAACGUCAUGGGUUAAUACCCCGUGAAACUGACGGUACCUGCAGAAUAAGCACCGGCUAACUACGUGCCAGCAGCCGCGGUAAUACGUAGGGUGCAAGCGUUAAUCGGAAUUACUGGGCGUAAAGCGUGCGCAGGCGGUUCGGAAAGAAAGAUGUGAAAUCCCAGAGCUCAACUUUGGAACUGCAUUUUUAACUACCGAGCUAGAGUGUGUCAGAGGGAGGUAGAAUUCCGCGUGUAGCAGUGAAAUGCGUAGAUAUGCGGAGGAACACCGAUGGCGAAGGCAGCCUCCUGGGAUAACACUGACGCUCAUGCACGAAAGCGUGGGGAGCAAACAGGA
rnacentral:rRNA from 1 species